UGGAUUAGUGGCGAACGGGGGUGGAUCACGUGAGUAACCUUCCCUUGACUCUGGGAUAAGCCCGGGAAACUGGGUCUAAUACUGGAUAUGACCUUUCACCGCAUGGUGGAAGGUGGAAAGAUUUAUCGGUCUUGGAUGGACUCGCGGCCUAUCAGCUUGUUGGUGAGGUAAUGGCUCACCAAGGCGACGACGGGUAGCCGGCCUGAGAGGGUGACCGGCCACACUGGGACUGAGACACGGCCCAGACUCCUACGGGAGGCAGCAGUGGGGAAUAUUGCACAAUGGGCGCAAGCCUGAUGCAGCGACGCCGCGUGAGGGAUGACGGCCUUCGGGUUGUAAACCUCUUUCAGUAGGGAAGAAGCCUUUCGGGGUGACGGUACCUGCAGAAGAAGCGCCGGCUAACUACGUGCCAGCAGCCGCGGUAAUACGUAGGGCGCGAGCGUUAUCCGGAAUUAUUGGGCGUAAAGAGCUCGUAGGCGGUUUGUCGCGUCUGCUGUGAAAGCCCGGGGCUUAACUCCGGGUCUGCAGUGGGUACGGGCAGACUAGAGUGCAGUAGGGGAGACUGGAAUUCCUGGUGUAGCGGUGAAAUGCGCAGAUAUCAGGAGGAACACCGAUGGCGAAGGCAGGUCUCUGGGCUGUUACUGACGCUGAGGAGCGAAAGCAUGGGGAGCGAACAGGAUUAGAUACCCUGGUAGUCCAUGCCGUAAACGUUGGGCACUAGGUGUGGGGGACAUUCCACGUUUUCCGCGCCGUAGCUAACGCAUUAAGUGCCCCGGCCUGGGGAGUACGGCCGCAAGGCUAAAACUCAAAGGAAUUGACGGGGGCC
rnacentral:rRNA from 1 species